rnacentral:rRNA from 1 species
UUAAGCGACUAAGCGUACACGGUGGAUGCCCUGGCAGUCAGAGGCGAUGAAGGACGUGCUAAUCUGCGAUAAGCGUCGGUAAGGUGAUAUGAACCGUUAUAACCGGCGAUUUCCGAAUGGGGAAACCCAGUGUGUUUCGACACACUAUCAUUAACUGAAUCCAUAGGUUAAUGAGGCGAACCGGGGGAACUGAAACAUCUAAGUACCCCGAGGAAAAGAAAUCAACCGAGAUUCCCCCAGUAGCGGCGAGCGAACGGGGAGGAGCCCAGAGCCUGAAUCAGUGUGUGUGUUAGUGGAAGCGUCUGGAAAGGCGCGCGAUACAGGGUGACAGCCCCGUACACAAAAAUGCACAUAUUGUGAGCUCGAUGAGUAGGGCGGGACACGUGGUAUCCUGUCUGAAUAUGGGGGGACCAUCCUCCAAGGCUAAAUACUCCUGACUGACCGAUAGUGAACCAGUACCGUGAGGGAAAGGCGAAAAGAACCCCGGCGAGGGGAGUGAAAAAGAACCUGAAACCGUGUACGUACAAGCAGUGGGAGCACGCUUAGGCGUGUGACUGCGUACCUUUUGUAUAAUGGGUCAGCGACUUAUAUUCUGUAGCAAGGUUAACCGAAUAGGGGAGCCGAAGGGAAACCGAGUCUUAACUGGGCGUUAAGUUGCAGGGUAUAGACCCGAAACCCGGUGAUCUAGCCAUGGGCAGGUUGAAGGUUGGGUAACACUAACUGGAGGACCGAACCGACUAAUGUUGAAAAAUUAGCGGAUGACUUGUGGCUGGGGGUGAAAGGCCAAUCAAACCGGGAGAUAGCUGGUUCUCCCCGAAAGCUAUUUAGGUAGCGCCUCGUGAAUUCAUCUCCGGGGGUAGAGCACUGUUUCGGCGAAGGGGGUCAUCCCGACUUACCAACCCGAUGCAAACUGCGAAUACCGGAGAAUGUUAUCACGGGAGACACACGGCGGGUGCUAACGUCCGUCGUGAAGAGGGAAACAACCCAGACCGCCAGCUAAGGUCCCAAAGUCAUGGUUAAGUGGGAAACGAUGUGGGAAGGCCCAGACAGCCAGGAUGUUGGCUUAGAAGCAGCCAUCAUUUAAAGAAAGCGUAAUAGCUCACUGGUCGAGUCGGCCUGCGCGGAAGAUGUAACGGGGCUAAACCAUGCACCGAAGCUGCGGCAGCGACGCUUAUGCGUUGUUGGGUAGGGGAGCGUUCUGUAAGCCUGUGAAGGUGUGCUGUGAGGCAUGCUGGAGGUAUCAGAAGUGCGAAUGCUGACAUAAGUAACGAUAAAGCGGGUGAAAAGCCCGCUCGCCGGAAGACCAAGGGUUCCUGUCCAACGUUAAUCGGGGCAGGGUGAGUCGACCCCUAAGGCGAGGCCGAAAGGCGUAGUCGAUGGGAAACAGGUUAAUAUUCCUGUACUUGGUGUUACUGCGAAGGGGGGACGGAGAAGGCUAUGUUGGCCGGGCGACGGUUGUCCCGGUUUAAGCGUGUAGGCUGGUUUUCCAGGCAAAUCCGGAAAAUCAAGGCUGAGGCGUGAUGACGAGGCACUACGGUGCUGAAGCAACAAAUGCCCUGCUUCCAGGAAAAGCCUCUAAGCAUCAGGUAACAUCAAAUCGUACCCCAAACCGACACAGGUGGUCAGGUAGAGAAUACCAAGGCGCUUGAGAGAACUCGGGUGAAGGAACUAGGCAAAAUGGUGCCGUAACUUCGGGAGAAGGCACGCUGAUAUGUAGGUGAAGUCCCUCGCGGAUGGAGCUGAAAUCAGUCGAAGAUACCAGCUGGCUGCAACUGUUUAUUAAAAACACAGCACUGUGCAAACACGAAAGUGGACGUAUACGGUGUGACGCCUGCCCGGUGCCGGAAGGUUAAUUGAUGGGGUCAGCGCAAGCGAAGCUCUUGAUCGAAGCCCCGGUAAACGGCGGCCGUAACUAUAACGGUCCUAAGGUAGCGAAAUUCCUUGUCGGGUAAGUUCCGACCUGCACGAAUGGCGUAAUGAUGGCCAGGCUGUCUCCACCCGAGACUCAGUGAAAUUGAACUCGCUGUGAAGAUGCAGUGUACCCGCGGCAAGACGGAAAGACCCCGUGAACCUUUACUAUAGCUUGACACUGAACAUUGAGCCUUGAUGUGUAGGAUAGGUGGGAGGCUUUGAAGUGUGGACGCCAGUCUGCAUGGAGCCGACCUUGAAAUACCACCCUUUAAUGUUUGAUGUUCUAACGUUGACCCGUAAUCCGGGUUGCGGACAGUGUCUGGUGGGUAGUUUGACUGGGGCGGUCUCCUCCUAAAGAGUAACGGAGGAGCACGAAGGUUGGCUAAUCCUGGUCGGACAUCAGGAGGUUAGUGCAAUGGCAUAAGCCAGCUUGACUGCGAGCGUGACGGCGCGAGCAGGUGCGAAAGCAGGUCAUAGUGAUCCGGUGGUUCUGAAUGGAAGGGCCAUCGCUCAACGGAUAAAAGGUACUCCGGGGAUAACAGGCUGAUACCGCCCAAGAGUUCAUAUCGACGGCGGUGUUUGGCACCUCGAUGUCGGCUCAUCACAUCCUGGGGCUGAAGUAGGUCCCAAGGGUAUGGCUGUUCGCCAUUUAAAGUGGUACGCGAGCUGGGUUUAGAACGUCGUGAGACAGUUCGGUCCCUAUCUGCCGUGGGCGCUGGAGAACUGAGGGGGGCUGCUCCUAGUACGAGAGGACCGGAGUGGACGCAUCACUGGUGUUCGGGUUGUCAUGCCAAUGGCACUGCCCGGUAGCUAAAUGCGGAAGAGAUAAGUGCUGAAAGCAUCUAAGCACGAAACUUGCCCCGAGAUGAGUUCUCCCUGACUCCUUGAGAGUCCUGAAGGAACGUUGAAGACGACGACGUUGAUAGGCCGGGUGUGUAAGCGCAGCGAUGCGUUGAGCUAACCGGUACUAAUGAACCGUGAGGCUUAACCUU